CACAUUGUUGGAAAACUUCCAAUCUAGUGGAUUUGAACAAGGAAAUCAACAUUGGUUGUCUCUUAGCUACAUCUCUUGUUUCUGCCAGUAUAUUCUCAAAAAAUGUUGGUCGUCUGAGAUCCUCCGUGGUUGGCAUGUCAUUCUCUUCUGAUUUACCCAUACUUAGUUGUGCUCAGAAUAUGCUAUCUAGUGAAUUUGGGCUGGUUGUGGUGUCCUUCUCAUCACUUGAUUUUGCUAGUUUCUUUGUUGGGUAAGAUUAUCUUUGUUUCUUUGUUUCAAUCUAUUGGCCAUAUUUAGCAUCCAUGUGAUUAUGUCAUAAGAUGAGAUCUUCAUCAGGUAUCUUUCUGCUGCUUUGGCUGGUUUUAGCGAACCUCAAAGACGAGUUGUAUCCAUCGAGAUAUAUUCUUGAUGGGAGUAAGACUCCCACAUGUACUACUUUGUUAAAUUCUUGUCAAGCAUGGAAAAGAUCACAUUGAUAACAAGUUCCUGUUUUGAUUUUAGUAGCCUGAGACUUAUUUAAGCAGUGCCCUGUUUGAUCACUUCUGAAUGACACAUAUUUCUCAUGGAUGAAGCCAAUAUAUUCCCUGUUAUGAUUUA